AGCCUGAAAAUUCUUGAAGCUGCUGGAAUGGAAGGGUGCCAUGGAUGUCAGACACCCAUGGAGUGUCGUCUCAAACUGAUGAAGAAUGACGAUGCAAAACCUGUCGUCCCUUCUCUGUACCGCAGUAUAAUUGGUAGCCUAAGGUACCUGGUGCACUCAAGACCGGACAUCACUCAUGCAGUUGGAAUAGUGAGCAUAUACAUGGAAAGGCCUACAGUCACUCACUGGACAGCCGUGAAGCAGAUACUGAGGUACAUGUGCAGUACUUUGAGCUAUGGGUGCUGCUAUGGGCGUGGUUCAGGAAAAAGUGAGCUGCUGGGCUAUAGUGACAGUGACCACGCCGGCGACGUUGAGGAUUGUAAAAGCACAUCUGGUCAGAUUUUUUUCCUUGGUAGCAAUCCUGUUACAUGGGCUUCCCAAAAGCAAAAGAUUGUGGCAAUCAGCUCCUGUGAGGCAGAGUACGUGGCUGCGGAGUCUGCUACUUGCCAAGGCCUAUGGCUGAAUCAUCUGCUCAUUGAAAUGAAAGGAGAAACAGCUGGUGCGUUCAGGCUCUUGAUUGACAAUAAGUCUGCAACAGCGCUGGCGAAGAAUCCCGUUCAUCAUGAUCGAAGCAAACAUAUCGAUGUCAAGUUCCAUUUCAUCCGAGACUGUGUUGAACAUGGAGAGGUGCAGCUUGAUCAUGUGGGAUCUGAUGACCAGGUGUCCGAUGCAUUGACAAAAGCACUUGGGCGUGUGAAGCUCAUCGAGCUGCGUCAGAAGCUUGGUGUCAAGGAAAUCAGCAAAGGACGUUGA
rnacentral:rRNA from 1 species